rnacentral:lncRNA from 1 species
CCAACCUCUCAGCAUUAACCCAUAAGAAAUUGAAAAACCUACACAUCUAAUCCAAACUCCAAAGACCAAAAUCAAAGCCGCCCCCGACACUUCGUUCGGCCCCCAUCGUCGCCAUCGAAGCGAUGAACUCCGAAAGGUGAAAGCCCAUCAAAGCCGAGACCUCCAACCAUAGACCAUUCGAACAAGGUAGGAUUCUUCAUGUAUGGCAUCUAUGAUUUGGUGAAAGGGUUGGAAAGAUCCGCCAAGAUAAUACCUAGAAAAGUUUUGAUUAUAUAUUAUCUGAUUAUGAACUGAUAGAUAAUUGAUUUAUUUCUUGAUUUCUUCGAAAUAUGCAUGGUGAUGGCUGUAUUACAAUAGAGAGGGAGGGAAGGUGGGCCCUUUUUUCCCCUAAAAAUUUCGAAGUGGAUUAGAGGUAUUAUUGUUGAGUUAGUGGUCAGGGAAGCAGGUUGUGAAGAACUAGCUUUGUGAUUUGUCACCAUGGGGAUGGAGAUGAUUGGCAUGAAAUGGAAUCGAAUUAGAUACUUUCACAGACCAUCAAUCCUCGAAUUAAAUAAUUAUUUUCUUAUAUAACAUUAAAUGAUUGGCAUGAAAUGGAACCAAAUUUCUUUAUAUUUACGCUUUCUUUCAAUCAUUGUUUUCUCGUCUCUACUCUCUACUGUCAGUCUGUCUCUCUUCUUAGUAUCAUCUGCCGACACCGAUUCCGACAGUAAGCCCUCAAUUUUCUUUUAAAUAUUUGUUUCUUCUCCACUGUUUUUAGUUUUUACUUUUUAUUACUGCUACCAUUUUUUUCUUGUACAAACAUUAUAACAAAAGAAAGAGCAGUAGAAAAAGAAGUAAAUUUUAUAGUAGAAUUAAAAUUACAAAUUUACAAUUUUUUUCCCUAUAGGUUGAAGAAGAAAAACAGAUUUAAUUUAAAUGAAAAACCCUCUCUAUCUUUAGCUUCGCAAAUUUUAGAUUUUAUUUUUUUCACACUGCUAUCUAAUAAGCCCUCUUUUAUCAUCAUUAGAAGUUGAAAAACUUGAUUACAGAGGCAAAGCUGAUGAAGAAAAUAAGAAUUCAUUCGCCUACGAACUACAGUUCUUGUUAUUUCGAAUUUAAUGUUAUAUAUGAAUUCUUUAUAUUUACUCUUAAAUUAUUCUUUAUGUUUUCCUAUAUAACAUUGUUGAGUUAGUGGUCAGGGAGAUUCAAGAGUGAUAAAGUUAUACAAUUUGACUCUGCCAUUUGAUGAUUUUCUGGAAAAUUGUCUGUGCAAGAUUUAAUCAAGUUUCUCGUUAAGGUGAUACCAGUUUUGGAUGCUCAAAUGGGAGACAAAAAAAGGCUAAUGAGAGGUCGGAAAUAUGGAAUCAUUUCACUAGGAUACUUGAUGGAAAAAGAGCAAAAUGUAAUUAUUAUGGGAGAACAUUUAAGUCUGAUACUAAUAGUAGAACUUCUAGCACGUGGAAGCAUCUAAAAAUUUGUUAUGCAUAUAAGAGCACUCGGGUUGAUGACAACAAGCAAUACUCACUCGAGAAAACAAUGAUGGUGGUAUUACGACAAUAGUGUUUAAUAAAGAAAAGUGUAGAAAAUCAUUGGUUAAGAUGAUUACUAUUGAUGAAUUGGCUUUUUCCUUUGUGGAAGGCGUGGUUUUUAAGGAAUUUGUUCAUCAAUUUUGUCCUCGAUUUGAGGUUCCUUGUCGAAAAACGAUUGCUAGAGAUGUGCUACAUCUCUACCAUGAAACAAAAGAAUCAUUGAGGAUUAAAUUUAUUAAUGAUAGACAAAGGAUUUCUUUAACCACUGAUUGUUGGACAUCAAUUCAAAACAUCAAUUAUAUGGUAGUCACAGCACAUUUUAUUGAUAGAAGUUGGAAACUGCAUAAGAUGAUAUUGACUUUUUUUGUUGUUCUAAAUCACGAAGGGGAGACAAUUGGGAAGUUUAUUGAAAAUUGUUUGCUUGAUUGGGGAAUAGAGCAUGUGGGUACCAUUAGUGCAAGCACAAAUGAUGCAGCGAUCAUUUAUGUGAAAAACAAGUUGAAGAAUUGGAAACCUGAUGAUACUAUGAUUUUAGGUGGCUCUUAUUUGCAUGUACGUUGUUUAGCACACAUGGUCAAUUUGAUUGUUAAAGAAGGGUUGAAAGAGUUUAAUCCAUCUAUAGAAAGUAUUUGCAAUGCGGUCAAAUAUUUUCGAUCAUCUCCUUCUCGAUUGAUGAAAUUUAUGUGUUGUAUUGAAAGAGAAAAAAUUGCAUGCAAAAAACUUGCUGUUUUAGAUGUUUUUACUAGAUGGAAUUCAACAUUCUUAAUGUUGAAUAGUGCAUUAAAUUUUGAAAAAACUUUUUAUAAAAUGGAGGAAGAUGAUAGAUUUUAUUAUAAAUAUUUUGACGAGAAUGAAGGUGGAAAAGAAAAAGUGGGGCCACCUACAAGUUAUGAUUGGGAGAAAGCUAGAAAAUUUUCCAAGUUUCUAAGAACAUUUUAUGAUGUCACAUUGAAGUUUAGUGCUUCAUUGAAUGUUACUUCCAAUAUUUACGUCCGAGAAGUGUGUAAAAUUGAGCAAAUUUUGAAAAAAAGGGUGACAAACAAGAUUAUUUGCUAAGUAGCAUAACAAACAGCAUGAAGAUUAAUUUUGACAAGUAUUGGGAUAAUGUUGAUAAAAUGAACAAGAUUUUGAUUGUAACAGUUGUGCUUGAUCAUAGGUAUAAGUUGGAGUUUGUUGUACAUUGUAUUGGUGUCUUGUAUGACUCUGUUAAGGUUGAAGCCACAAAAAUUGAGGUCAUGAAAUUAUUGUAUGCUUUGUAUAACCAGUACAAGGGAUGUUAUCGUUCAAAGAAUGGAGCUAGUGGAAGUGGAAGUGUUGGUAAUGAAUAUAAUGAUAGAGUCAUUUUGUUGGACAGCUCAGGUGAUGAUGAUGAUUGCGAUGAUUGUAAUUUUGAUUUUGGGUACAAGAAAAUGAAAACUAGCAAAAUACAUUUUUCUAGAAAAGAUGAGGUACAACGAUAUCUAAUAGAACCUACUGAAGAUGCUACCGAUGAAAACUUUAACAUUUUAAAAUGGUGGAAGAUCAACAGUUCAAGGUUUGAAUUUUUAUCUAAGGUUGCAAGGGAUGUUCUUACCAUUCCUGUAUCUACGGUGGCUUCUGAGUCAGCAUUUAGUACUGGAGGGCAUAUUCUUGACCCAUUUAGGAGUUCUUUAACGCCUAAAAUAGUUGAGGCCUUGAUUUGUAUACAAAACUGGCUAAUGGAAGAAUUUAGACUUUUGAGAGUUUCCGAAGAUAGAGUUUGUAUUGAAGAGACAAAAUUCUAUGAGAGCAUUAAGACAGGUAAUAAAAUAUAUAUUUUAUUUUUCUUAUUAAAUCUUAUUAGUUGAACAAUUUUUAGUUCAUUUAUGUUUGUUAAUUGUGUUUUUUUAAUUUUUUCUGUAGAGUUUCUUCGUAUGACAAGUUAAGAAAUUGAUGAUUAAUCAAAUAGCUGGUAAGUAUUAGCAAUACUUAAAAAUAUUUUAUCUCUAUGACUUCUAAUUCAUAUAUAAUUGUUUUAUGUAGACUUGAUUUUGAAGGCUUGAAGGCUGAAGCAAGAGAAUUAUUGAUACGAAUUGUCGAUAUUUUAGUACCAGUAUCUACUUUUUGGUAUAUGUAUAUAUUGGUAAAUUAAUGUUAUUGAACAACUGGUUAUUUAUAUGUUUUUAAUGGGACUUCGUUAAUUUGCAAAAGCUAUAAUUCAACAUAUUAUUAGUUGUAUU